rfam:Rattus norvegicus chromosome 8, whole genome shotgun sequence.
GGAGAUUUAGCUCAGUGGUAGAGCACUUGCCUAGCAAGCACAAGGCCCUGGGUUCGGUCCCCAGCUCUG